rnacentral:rRNA from 1 species
CUACGGGUUGCUCCAGUGAGGAAUAUUGGACAAUGGAGGCAACUCUGAUCCAGCCAUGCCGCGUGCAGGAAGACGGCCCUAUGGGUUGUAAACUGCUUUUAUACAGGAAGAAACACCUCCUCGUGAGGGGGUUUGACGGUACUGUACGAAUAAGGAUCGGCUAACUCCGUGCCAGUAGCCGCGGUAAUACGGAGGAUCCAAGCGUUAUCCGGAAUCAUUGGGUUUAAAGGGUCCGUAGGCGGUUUAAUAAGUCAGAGGUGAAAUCCUACAGCUCAACUGUAGAAUUGCCUUUGAUACUGUUAGACUUGAGUUAUUGUGAAGUAGUUAGAAUGUGUAGUGUAGCGGUGAAAUGCAUAGAUAUUACACAGAAUACCGAUUGCGAAAGCAGAUUACUAACAAUACACUGACGCUGAGGGACGAAAGCGUGGGUAGCGAACAGGAUUAGAUACCCGUGUAGUC